GGACAUAAGGAAAACCUAUGUCC
rnacentral:misc_RNA from 1 species